UGACGUCAAGUCAGCAUGGCCUUUAUAUCUUCGGGCUACACACACGCUACAAUGGAUGGCACAAUAGGUUGCAACAGCGCGAGCUGAAGCUAAUCCCCAAAGCCAUCCUCAGUACAGAUUGCAGGCUGAAACCCGCCUGCAUGAAGUCGGAGUUGCUAGUAACCGCAAAUCAGCAUGUUGCGGUGAAUACGUUCUCGGGCCUU
rnacentral:rRNA from 1 species